rnacentral:rRNA from 1 species
UACGGGGGGGGCAAGCGUUGUUCGGAAUUACUGGGCGUAAAGGGUUUGUAGGUGGCUUAUUAAGUCAGACGUGAAAUCCCUCAGCUUAACUGGGGAACUGCGUCUGAGACUGGUGAGCUUGAGUGCAGGAGAGGAACGCGGAAUUCCAGGUGUAGCGGUGAAAUGCGUAGAUAUCUGGAGGAACACCGGUGGCGAAGGCGGCGUUCUGGACUGCAACUGACACUGAUGAACGAAAGCGUGGGGAGCAAACAGG